UAGGGGAUCUUCCACAAUGGACGAAAGUCUGAUGGAGCAACGCCGCGUGAGUGAAGAAGGGUUUCGGCUCGUAAAACUCUGUUGUUAAAGAAGAACAUAUCUGAGAGUAACUGUUCAGGUAUUGACGGUAUUUAACCAGAAAGCCACGGCUAACUACGUGUCAG
rnacentral:rRNA from 1 species